UACAGAGGUCUCAAGCGUUGUUCGGAUUCAUUGGGCGUAAAGGGUGUGUAGGCGGCGCGGUAAGUCGGGUGUGAAAUCUCGGGGCUUAACUCCGAAACUGCAUUCGAUACUACCGUGCUUGAGGACGGGAGAGGAGACUGGAAUUUACGGUGUAGCGGUGAAAUGCGUAGAUAUCGUAAGGAAGACCAGUGGCGAAGGCGGGUCUCUGGACAGUACCUGACGCUGAGGCACGAAGGCCAGGGGAGCAAACGGG
rnacentral:rRNA from 1 species